CAAUAAUAGGCCCAACAAAGCAAAAGUAGUCCAACAAAAAAAACAUCACACCCAACUCUUCAUGUUUUCUUCCUCACAUUUUCACUUAUUUCCUUUUUAUGCUCUUCAACUGUUCACUAACACCUCCCACCCACACUCCAACUUCCAGCCACAACUCUCCACUCUUCCGCCACAACAUGAAUACCACUGGAUCCACUACCGCGUUCGAUAGAUAGUCCUCAUCUUUUUCCUUUUUGCAUUUUUCUUCAACUGAUUCAUAACUUUGUUUCUUUUUUUGUCUUGUUUUUGAAAUUGAAAGUGUUGCUAGAUGCUUGCUUCCAUGCUUGAUACAUUAUUGUUUAUAUAUGCUAGUUUUUGUUUCAUGAGAGGGAUUGGGAAGAAGUGCAUUUUUUGUUUUCUUUUUUAGUUGGUGUUAUUGUUUUGAGAGUGAGAAAGAAAGUUUUGAUAUUUGUUUGAACGUUUCACUGAAAAAGAAAAUAUAAAAAGAGAGAGUGAGUGAGAUAGAAUUCCUUUUGGCUUCUUUCUAAAAAUGUAAAAAGAGAAUGAAUUUUGUUUUCACCUUCACGUGAGGUGAAGCCAAAAGAGAAAUGCUCCCUUUUAUUAAAUAUGGAUUAUUUUAUUUUAUUUUUAAAGAAGGGAAAGCUAAUUUUUUAUUAAAGUGGAUUUUGUUUUGUUUUACUUUUAGUAAAGUGGAAAAGCUAAUUUUUUUAUUCAUCUAUUCAAUUUUGCACUGCAGAAAAUAUCGUUCAACUUCAACGGUGUGGAAUUUAUUGGUUCAACUUCCACGUUGCGGGAUUGAUUAACUUCAAUUUCAGAAGGGUUUUACGUGAAAAAGCAGAGAAGCAUCGUGAAAGAGGAAAAGGGCAAGAGAAGGAGCAAGAGCAAAGGUUGAAGAACGGAAAAGCUUGAAGCUCAAAGAAUUACCGGAUUAUCUCAGGUAACGAGCAGUGAGUUGAGUAGAAGCUAGUGCUUGAAGUCUAGAGUGGUUUUAGUGGGUCAUGCUCUGAUAGAUGUAACAUCGGGACGGGAUGUUUUAUUUGUUGAAUAAAUGUUAAUUUUAAGAUAUUACAGAUGUUGAAUGUUUCUAUCCGCUGCGAAUU